GGGUCACAGACGACAUCCAGAGAAGGCAACAAAAACCUACCACUUAAAGGCAACAGGGUCUAACCGUAGGUAUUUGGUUUGGGGAAAAGAGAGUUGAGAGCAAUGUUGGGCCAAGCGUAAAGGGGAUCAAAGGCAUGGAGAC